CCGCCUGCAGGAGCUCACCGCUUGCUGCCACCACGCUCCCACUGCCACCAGCACAGCCGUGCCCCCCAGCUGUUGGGGGCACGCACCAUUCAUGC